GAUGAACGCUGGCGGCGUGCCUAAUACAUGCAAGUCGAGCGAACGGACGAGAAGCUUGCUUCUCUGAUGUUAGCGGCGGACGGGUGAGUAACACGUGGAUAACCUACCUAUAAGACUGGGAUAACUUCGGGAAACCGGAGCUAAUACCGGAUGAUAUUUUGAACCGCAUGGUUCAAAAGUGAAAGACGGUCUUGCUGUCACUUAUAGAUGGAUCCGCGCUGCAUUAGCUAGUUGGUAAGGUAACGGCUUACCAAGGCAACGAUGCAUAGCCGACCUGAGAGAGUGGUCGGCCACACUGGAACUGAGACGCGGUCCAGGCUCCUACGGGAGGCAGCAGUAGGGAAUCUUCCGCAAUGGGCGAAAGCCUGACGGAGCAACGCCGCGUGAGUGAUGAAGGUCUUCGGAUCGUAAAACUCUGUUAUUAGGGAAGAACAUAUGUGUAAGUAACUGUGCACAUCUUGACGGUACCUAAUCAGAAAGCCACGGCUAACUACGUG
rnacentral:rRNA from 1 species